rfam:Tyto alba contig155241, whole genome shotgun sequence.
AAAAAGGCUCCUCUUGGAGCUACUGAAGUAGAACAGAGCAUUUCAG